CUCCGUCGUGUCCAGGCCAACAUCGGUUCUGGGGGUCGGUUAAAGGCUCGGGGAAUGUAUCUACCCUCCGGGCGUAGACUUAUAGCCCCGAGUGUCAUGCGGCCUCCCGGGACCGAGGAACGCGCUUCGGCUCGGAUGUUGGCGUAAUGGUUGUCAGCGACCCGUCUUGAAACACGG
rnacentral:rRNA from 1 species